UGAAAUCGCUCAACAAGGAAUGUUUUGGUGGUUAAAACUGUUUGUCAUGUCAUAGAUUAGAUGAUCCAGUACAAAAUCUCCCUGAUCAGAUGAUUUUAGCUAUUUAGCAGUGGAAUGUUUCUCGUGAACUUGAAUGGGCACGGUUUGAACUGCAGGGGAUGCAAAUGGAAGUUACCUAGAGUGGGAAAGAAGACUGCUAAUAAACUCAUUUGGCUUCCUAGUUGUUGCUUGCAUAUAUAAUAAGAAGGGCUUCACAAUCUAACUAAUUUAUCUGUUUUGUAACGAGGUUUCCUGAAGCUAAUGGUGAAACAACAUGUAAUGUUUGGAGUCAUCAAACUAAAUAUACCAAGAGCCAUGCCGAAUACUAUUUUAGGAGCUGGAAAGGGAGAGGAUUGCUAGGUCAGAUUUGGAAAGGGCUGCCCAUGUUGAUUUAUUAGACAUCAAAACAGAGAUUUUUCCCUUCAUUUCUUAGGUAUGAAUAAGAUGGUCAUUAAUAAUUUGGACAAACUCUUUGUUACAAAUGAUGCUGCAACUAUUGUGAAUGAACUUGAGGUACAACAUCCUGCUGCAAGAUUCUGGUGUAAGCAGGCAAAGCACAACAGGAAGAAAUUAGCGAUGGAGCUAAUUUGACGAUAUCUUUUGUUAGGGAGCUUCUCCAAAAUGCGGAGGAGCUUAUUAGGAUGGGAUUGCAUCCAAGUGAAAUCAUUAGUGGCUACACAAAAGUGAUCAAUAAGACGGUUGAAAUUUUAGAUGAGUUGGUUGAAAAGGGCUCGGAAACAAUGGAUGUGCGGAACAAGGAUGAAGUAGCUCUAUUGAUGCGUUGUUCAUGCCAUUUGGCAUUGGGUAAUU